rnacentral:rRNA from 1 species
UACAGAGGUCUCAAGCGUUGUUCGGAUUCAUUGGGCGUAAAGGGUGUGUAGGUGGCGCGCUAAGUCGGGUGUGAAAUUUCGGAGCUUAACUCCGAAACUGCAUUCGAUACUGGCGUGCUUGAGGACUGGAGAGGAGACUGGAAUUCAUGGUGUAGCAGUGAAAUGCGUAGAUAUCGUGAGGAAGACCAGUUGCGAAGGCGACUCUCUGGGCAAUUCCUGACACUGAGGCACGAAGGCCAGGGGAGCAAACGGG